rnacentral:rRNA from 1 species
ACGCUCGACACCUACGGGAGGCAGCAGUGGGGGAUAUUGCACAAUGGGGGGAACCCUGAUGCAGCGACGCCGCGUGAGGGAAGAAGGUUUUCGGAUUGUAAACCUCUGUCCUCAGGGAAGAAGAUGACGGUACCUGAGGAGGAAGCCACGGCUAACUACGUGCUAGCAGCCGCGGUAAUCUGAGCGGGCUGGCAAGGC